CAGCUGUGGAGUCUCCGCUGAAGUGGUCCAGCACAUCCAGUGGCAACGACAGGGUCUCUGCUUUGUAUCAAAGCAGUCAUUAGAACAUCCGUUUGAUCUUCAUCCAUAAGGAUCAGCUGCGCCGGUCUGGACCUCCUCACUUGACUCCAAAAGAUCAAGGUUCACGUCUGUCCAACUCCAUUUUCCCACAUGUCGUACUCCAAACAGGAGGUUCACUGACAAACACACAGCAAGCUCGUUUCCCUGAACCCCGGAAUCCACAGCAAGCUGUGUUGUUUCACUGUCUGUCACAGGUUUGGCCUUUUGCUGCACUUCAAUGCAGCAGCUUGUUCAACACAAUCAUCUAAUAAUUUAUCUCUCUCCUAGCAACAGUGCGGUUUGUGUUGUGUGCCAGGUGGAUAUUUUUGUGUAUUUAAACAUGAUGUCAAGCACAUUUUUAUUGGUUCUAAUCAGAGCAGCUUGACCUGUAUUUAAUCAACAGAGCGCAAUAAAACAGGACAUUUUUAGGAUUUUUAGAAUGACCGUUUGAGUUUUCGAAGGCAAUCCUCUUAAACUUGGAGGUUGAACACACUUUCAUGUUUUUUUGCGAUGGCACGGCGCCGGAGGCACACCGUAUUUAUAGGUCAUGUGAUACUUGGGUCAUUUUGAGGCCCGCACAGCGGAUCACCAGGAUCAAACGCUCUGACUGGCUCAAUGACUCAGUGAGUUAUAGAUGGUUGGAGGCAACAGGGUUACACAUACAGUAUAAAUGUUUUACAGAACACUAAUUCACAUCAAGCUUUCAACUUGACGUUGAUUGAGCAGGAAAGUGAAGAGCUACUGAAAUGAUGCCUGAGUUGGUUUUAGUUAGGCUGGUUCCUUUGAGCUGUGCAGUUGUUUAAAAAGCUGUAAAAUGUUUGCCCUUGAGCCUCUUGUGUCGUCAAGUCGUCCAUCUCUGUCACCGUUCGUUUGUGAUUGUAGUGAUAAAUGCCCUUUUUCAAAAGUUAAACAUACGUUUAGUGUCAUUUUCUGAUUUUGUCUCUUCUCCCUAUUCAAUAUUCCAUUGUUAAAUUGUCAGGUUGAGUAUGUAAAGGACCAAAAUCAACAGAAAUGGACAGGUUAGAGCCUCCAGCAUUUCCUUAACUUCCUUUUUCCUGUCAGAAUCUGGCUGUCUAGACCGGUCCAGCCUCGUAGGGGAGAGAUGCAUUGUGGGGUAACUGCAGCUUGGACAUGAGAUGAUUACAAUGCACACAGGUAUGAAAAAUGCUUCUUUAACAGGAGCUCUCAGGCCUCAGGGACCAACUUUCCUGCCUGAGUAUUGAAGUUGAGUCAUGGUGUCUGGACUUAAAGUCUUCCUUCUUCAGUCCACUGAUGACUGAUGAAGCCACUUGGAUGAGUGGUGAGACAUUUCAAGAAAUAAGUCUGUAAGUCCAGAUGUCAUGACUCAACUUCAAGACGACGUCAGCGGGAUAAAUGAGAACUUUUAUCAACACUUUCCCGUCUGAGGUUUUCACCUCUGCUUUAGUUUGUCCAGUUUGACACAAUACUUCUGACUCAGAAAAAUCAAGUGAACUCUGUUAUUUAUUUUACUCUUACUGACUAUAGUCUCAAUGCAGACUUUUUGCUUAAAGUUGUAACAUUCUUUGAAGAUCCAGGCUAUUUUUUUAAUAUGAAACUUAACUUUCAGUAAAAACCUGUCAAUUUUUUAUUCAUUUAUUUGAUCAAAUUAAAACAGCUGUAUAUGGUCAUAUUAAAAACUUUUAUUUUACCUUUUAUAGAAAUACUUUUUGCAUGUAAAUAUUACACCUUUGAAGGAUAAAAGGCUUUAAAGAAUGUCCUCUUUAGUCUCGUCCUUGAACCUCAGCAUUUUUUUUACAAUAAAAUAUCACUAUCUUUCAUAUAACAUGUCCAAAAAAUCUCUUACCUCAAUUUUUUUUCUUAAACAUCUGCAUGCUGUUCCUUUUAUGAAUUGAUUCCUAAUCUUUCAAUGGCUGUGAGCUUCAAAUAAGAAGCCAAUACGACUUUAGGUUAAGAGGUGCUCUGACAUUUAUUGUUACUGCUUUUUAUUUUGUUUGUUUUGUCAUUGGCGUUUCUUUUUAAAUAUUCUAAGAAGAUAAAUGUGUUGCAAGUCUGUAAGAAUUUCUUGGAUGUAAAGGAACAACAUUUCUCUAUGUGGAUAAAAGCAUGUUUGAGUUUGAAGAUCACAAUCAUCUUAUAAACUUUCAGGACUUUUCGUGAUUUUCAUCCUUCAUAAUCAGACUUUUUUAUUUGUUUCUCGAUUUAAAAAUUGCAGAAUACAAUUUUUGUAACAGAGAAAUGUAUGUGAUUGACUGUCUGAAAAACUAUGUAAAAUGUGUUAUGCUAGCAAAGUAACAAACAUAUUCUUUCUUCAGGUCAAACAGGCCAAUGACAGGCUAAAUUGUAUUUACUUGCUCUGAGAUGGUUUUAUAGGAGGGUUCAAUAUAACAUACUAUCUGGUGUCUGGGUCCAUUCCAUGCCCACGCACAAACUCAUUCACUCUGCUGGACUUUCCUCAGGCAGUGACCACUGUUGAUUGUAAGUGAAGAGCUGAUAAACUGUGAUCCAGCCUCUCCCCCAUGUGGAAAAGUUAAGCACAGAGUUUCCAGUCAACCACCACUUUUAUCCAAUCAGAUCCUGCUGCUCCUAAACUUACUUUCAAUAUGAUGAAAAAAAAAAAAAAAAAACAAAGAAUUCUUGGAAAAGUCAAAUCUCUCUAAGAAGUCUUUGUUGGUAUGAAUGAGAUCUACUCAUGAUAAACAAUGUUGUCAUGGUAGCUGUGUCCUCAAUGGGAUGGACAGUGAAACUCCCUCUCAAUUUUGACAAAAUGCAGUGUUGGAAAGCACAAUAUUUUGUGAGUCAAGCACAGCCAGACACAUGCCUGCACCACCCUGUUUCCAUUGCUCAACUUUGGAUAUGGUCUGUUGCACUCUCCCCCCAUGUGGCAUCAAUGUGGCAUCUUUUGUAAAGGUCAUUUUUUUAAGAAAAAAAACAAGCAUAAUUUAAAGUUAGGUAGGACUUUUUUUUUUAGCAAAAAAUAUCUGAGAUAAAGUGUUCCUUAAAGACAAAAGUUUAAUUGGAAGAGGAUUUGUGAUGGAAUAAAGUACCUCCCCCCUCCCCUUCCACCUACCGGCACAGCCCCCUCCCACUCUCCAAAGGUGUCCCAUUCACUUUUUUUUUUUUUUUUUUAAGUCGAGCCCCUCCUCUCUGACGAGAUAGCAGCGUGGGUGAAGCAAACUUCAGCGUGUCCCUUUCUAACACUCCACGGACUCUGUGCCUUCAUCCAGAGCCAGGAUCAUCCCGGAGCGAAAGCCAGCGCGCGCGCGGAGCAUCCCGCAGGAGAGGAGGGAGGCUGUUGCGUCAGUUCGAAGAGGACUUAUCCGGGCACUUUUACGCACGAAUUUUACGCACGAGGACUCGUUCAGUUUAAGGACUUACAUUAAUAUUUUCAAGCUUAAUGGAAUAAAACACAAGUAAAGGUAAGUUUUACCCCUCUCUCCAAUUGUUAUAGUCUUGAAUUUUAACUUACAGUUCAUUUUUAAAUGUUGCCAUUUUUAUUUUCUCGCAUUUUUAUGUUUUUUUUAAGUUUAAAUAAUUACCUCAACUAAUUAAAAUAGUUUCAUUCAGUGAGAAAGAGGUUUUAGAGAUUCACAAAUUACAUCCAGUGCGAGUUGUCCUCAGAUAACCCACACAGACAAUAUGAGGAAAGUUUAUUUAAAAUAUUAAUGUUUGAUUAUACAAAAUUAAUUUACUAGAAACAUGUUAUUUCGUAUUAUUUAUGAGCAAUUAAUUAAUUUUAGUAAAAUAAUUGUAAAGGAAUCACUUUGACAGUUAAGGAAAGUAUCUUAAAGGUGCAUCAUCAGGUGCUUCAAAAAUCAAUUGGCCAAAAAUGUGUAAUGAUCAGUUUUUAACUUUAUUUUCCUUUCUACGCUGACUUUCAAGUAAAAAAAAAAAAAAAAAA